UACAGAGGUCUCAAGCGUUGUUCGGAUUCAUUGGGCGUAAAGGGUGCGUAGGCGGCGCGGUAAGUCGGGUGUGAAAUCUCGGGAGCUUAACUCCGAAACUGCAUUCGAUACUGCCGUGCUUGAGGACUGGAGAGGAGACUGGAAUUUACGGUGUAGCGGUGAAAUGCGUAGAUAUCGUAAGGAAGACCAGUGGCGAAGGCGGGUCAUCCUGGACC
rnacentral:rRNA from 1 species